rnacentral:lncRNA from 1 species
ACUACCUACAACAACAACAAGCAUCUGGCUGUUGCUUCUCGUGCCCUAGACGUGCACAGACAGCUGAAGGAGGCUCAUUUAUUUAGUUCCUUCACUCAUCUAUUUUCCUCCCCCCUCUGCCUGCGUGGCUGACUGGGCUCACACUGGCUCCUCUCUCUCAGCGAGUGAGGGUGUGUGUGUGAGAGUGCGUUUGUCUCAGGCUAAGGUGGAGUGUACGCUGUGCAGGCUGUGGAGUGGUUCUCUACUCUUCCUUUCCCAGUAGAAUAUUGGAUGAGAACAGUGGAAGUCUCUUUCUUUCUCCUACCUCUGACUAUAGACCGUCACCUGUGCUGCAUCCAUGACUUUACAUGCUUGGCUGGUGUAUGGACUUGGAUUUACUAUGAUAUCUUAUUUUUUCAUCACGCAGGUCCAUGGACUGCAGUGCUAUGGCUGUAACAUCAUCCAGGGCCAGAGGUACAUGGACAUUGGCUGCUCCAACCCAGAGGUCAUCACCUGCACCCACUCACACAAGGGCUUCAAACAUCGCUUCUGCAUCAAGACAGAGAGCACAGCCCUGGGAAUUGUCCUGACCAGUGGAUGUGCCACAUCAAGACACUGCCAGCAACAAGAGCUGCCUGGAGUGCGCAUCCACUGCUGCACCUCAGACCUGUGUAACAGCACCCCCAACUGUCAAGCGAGCACAUUGCAUUACAUCUACACACUGGCAAGCCUGCUGCUGCUGAGGUUGUGGUUGUGAUAUGAGGUCACACAGCUUGUACUUGGACAGAUGGAACUCUGGAUAAACCAUCUAUGAAUGACACUUUACAUGGCUAGUUCUCCGUGUCUCUUCUCAGCUCCAUGUGUUAAGGGUCUGAGACUGAGAGGAGGGUUGUACAACACUGUACAUCAGAGCAGGUUUUGUGAAGAUGAAUUUUCGCUGUUUUUUUAUUUUUUUUAUCCCAAUGUGAGAAACAAAGGCAAAUAACUAAGCCAAGGUUCUCAUAAUUGAUUAUAAUGAUGAUGUUAUACAGUUAUUAAAUCAGUUCAGGAAGUGUCCCAGAGAGUAAUGUUCAUUUAAUAAAACCAUCAGUAUGGCUAGCAAAGAAAAGGAAAAGCUUGUUUGCUUUUUUAUUGUUUUCUUUGAUUCAAGCUGAGAUGCACGUUGCAUGUGGCUUUUAUUUCAGAUUGUAAGAUGGUAAGAAAAUGUCCAGUAAAAGUGAAAUGUUGUGAAAUACUGUAUUAAAGUAAUUAAACUAAU